UUGGCAACAGUAGUAGUAUUGUUGUUAGGACAUCAAAACAGUUAAGCAGCCAAUAAUUAGUUACUUUGAGUGCACAGUAUGCUGUUUGAACGAACUUAUUUAUUCCUCUUUGCCUUCAGCAAUUCUGUAUAGAUUCUCCUGGAAUUCAUUGGCAGGUGGGCAGUUAAAAAAUGACGAUUUUUGUACUUGGUUGACAGAGCUUACUAUGUGCAAGUGUGUUUGAUGGUUACAAUAGUUCCGUCGUUUCACAUACUUUCAAAUGUUAACUAGUGCGUUUGCAAAAUUCCAUUUUUUAACUGCCCACCUGCUAAU
rnacentral:sRNA from 1 species